ensembl:piRNA 21ur-10160 ncRNA
UAGUUUAUAUUUUAUUCCCUU